CCCAAGAGUGUGAGUGGCCAAUCUGUCUCUACAGCUGGCAAAGAAAGGAGGUGAGACGCUCCUGGAGCACAGAAGCCCACAGCCAAGGCAGGCUCUACUUGCCCCUGCCACCAAGGGAGAAAGAGAUGAGAUUUAGCAGCAGAACAACCACUCGAUCAUAUUAAAGAAAUCCAGAGGCCCAUUUCUCAUUACUGGGCUGCUGUUUGCUUAGACACUGAGAAAGUCUAUGGCAUUUACGUAAAAUGACAAAGCUACAAGAUAUUAAUAUUAGGCUGCUCAGUGAGCUGUGGAGCUGGCCAUA
rnacentral:lncRNA from 1 species